GGGNAGACCNAAGAUGAUUAAUAUUAUUAUUUUGCCNCCUUAGGUCGAUCGGUAUCUUACAUUAUGAAAUUCUUAAGGAUAUCAUUUCCUAAGUAUUUCUAGGACCNAUCNUUCAUUUUUCCUGGUACAUUAGUUGAGGGGGAUAGAGCGCUCCCCUGAGAAGGGUGCGCUGCCUCAGGAANNAAAGGACCNCAAUAUCUCUAUGUUGGUAGAGUACAUCUNNUAUAAAUUCNUUCCUUGCUGGAGGGANNGGUAGGAAUACGNUAAGUCCGCCUGACUGACUACUACCUCNUUAUUAAGCUGAAAGAAGGAAAAUUUGUGAUUUGCGAUCUUUAGAAUAAGCGAACCUAAUGUAAGAAUGAACAAUUUGGAUGCUGGACUCAUUUUCUAAUUUUCUUGGAUCCUAAAAACCUGGACAACUUNUUAUAUUAUUUUUAACCAUCUNANCAUCGUAUGAUACUGAUUAAUUAUGGCUGCUAAUGCAUUAUCUACAAUUCUAUUGGCGGUUGUUNNUAUUUUGAAGNUUUUG
rnacentral:misc_RNA from 1 species